rnacentral:rRNA from 1 species
AGCGAACGCUGGCGGCAGGCUUAACACAUGCAAGUCGAACGCCCCGCAAGGGGAGUGGCAGGCGGGUGAGUAACACGUGGGAACGUACCCUUUGGUUCGGAAUAACUUGGGGAAACUCAAGCUAAUACCGGAUAAGCCCUUAUGGGGAAAGGUUUACUGCCGAAGGAUCGGCCCGCGUCUGAUUAGCUAGUUGGUGAGGUAAUGGCUCACCAAGGCGACGAUCAGUAGCUGGUCUGAGAGGAUGAUCAGCCACACUGGGACUGAGACACGGCCCAGACUCCUACGGGAGGCAGCAGUGGGGAAUAUUGGACAAUGGGGGCAACCCUGAUCCAGCCAUGCCGCGUGAGUGAUGAAGGCCUUAGGGUUGUAAAGCUCUUUUACCAGGGACGAUAAUGACUGUACCGGGAGAAUAAGCCCCGGCUAACUUCGUGCCAGCAGCCGCAGUAA